AGCGACGAACGGAGCCCACAUGACAACGACCAUGCAGAGGAGGCUGAAAUGCAGGAGGUGAACGACCCAAGAGAGACCGUCCCCACGCUCCCCAGCGACGACAACGAGGAAGGCCCAUCGGCCCAUGACAUCACGGAGGUGAACGGCGCUGCCACAGAGUUUUCGACACAGGUGACCGUACCAGAAAGGAAGGCAAUGUAGGCAGCACAAACAGGCAACGAUUGACUCAUGUUCGACGUCCUGCACCACCUACCCGGACUCCAUACACAAGGGGAAGGGCAAAGAGAGUAAAGAAAUAAGUGAGUUCAAGUAGUCCGAUAAGGUGUGUUGUAGUAGUAGAUACGUUGUUCGUAACAAGGACAUGCUUUUAAUUUGGUUAGUUUUAUGGACGGAUACGUUUGCUCAGCCAUAUGCUACACAUUAAACUAUUUUAUAUAGAGUACAUAUCGUUUUGCGAUAAUAAAUAUUUAAUGCAAGCAUGGGAUGGUAUUGCCAGUCAAUUUUGUGUGUAUACGUUGACAAAAUAAUGCAUGUAUUGUUGAUGAAAUGUAAAAGGGUAGAUCAACAUCAAAACUAAAAUGAAUAUAUCAUCAUUCUUAUACAUCCAGUCAUAUGAUUUUUCAAGACGAACUGACGGGUUUUCCUGUCAGAGUCUUUACAAAAAUCUGCAUGCCUCCCCUCAACCUCAGUACCAAGUGCAGAGUUGACUCCUUCUGAAUAUUAUAGUCUGCCAAUGUUCAGCAGUCCUCAAGCUGUUUGCCAGC